CCUACGGGAGGCAGCAGUGAGGAAUAUUGGUCAAUGGGAGAGAUCCUGAACCAGCCAAGCCGCGUGAGGGAAGACGGCCCUAUGGGUUGUAAACCUCUUUUGUCGGGGAGCAAGGGCGGGGACGUGUCCCUGCCCGGAGAGUACCCGGAGAAAAAGCAUCGGCAAACUCCGUGCCAGCAGCCGCGGUAAUACGGAGGAUGCGAGCGUUAUCCGGAUUUAUUGGGUUUAAAGGGUGCGUAGGCGGGCUUUUAAGUCAGCGGUAAAAAUUCGGGGCUCAACCGCGUCCGGCCGUUGAAACUGGGGGCCUUGAGUGGGCGAGAGGAAGGCGGAAUGCGUGGGGUAGCGGUGAAAUGCAUAGAUAUCACGCAGAACCCCGAUUGCGAAGGCAGCCUUCCGGCGCCCUACUGACGCUGAGGCACGAAAGUGCGGGGAUCGAACAGGAUUAGAUACCCUAGUAGUC
rnacentral:rRNA from 1 species